GACGAACGCUGGCGGCGUGCCUAAUACAUGCAAGUAGAACGCUGAAGCGAGGAUCUUGCUCUUCUUGGAUGAGUUGCGAACGGGUGAGUAACGCGUUGGUAACCUGCCUUGUAGCGGGGGAUCACUAUUGGAAACGAUAGCUAAUACCGCAUAACAAUGGAUGACACAUGUCAUUUAUUUGAAAGGGGCAAUUGCUUCACUACAAGAUGGACCUGCGUUGUAUUAGCUAGUAGGUUAGGGAAUGGCUCACCUAGGCGACGAUACAUAGCCGACCUGGGAGGGAGAGCGGCCACACCGGGACUGGGACACGGCCCAGACUGCUACGGGAGGCAGCCGUAGGGAAUCUUCGGCGAUGGGGGGAACCCUGACCGAGCAACGCCGCGUGAGUGAAGAAGGUUUUCGGAUCGUAAAGCUCUGUUGUUAGUCAAGAACGGGUGUGAGAGUGGAAAGUUCACGCUGUGACGGUAGCUUACCAGAGAGGGACGGCUAACUACGUG
rnacentral:rRNA from 1 species